UACAGAGGGUGCAAGCGUUGUUCGGAAUUAUUGGGCGUAAAGGGCGCGUAGGCGGUGCUGUAAGUCUGUAGUGAAAUCUCUGGGCUCAACUCAGAGUCUGCUAUAGAAACUGCAGUGCUGGAGUGUGGGAGAGGUGAGUGGAAUUCCCGGUGUAGCGGUGAAAUGCGUAGAUAUCGGGAGGACACCUGUGGCGAAAGCGGCUCACUGGACCACAACUGACGCUGAGGCGCGAAAGCUAGGGGAGCGAACAGG
rnacentral:rRNA from 1 species